rnacentral:tRNA from 1 species
AGAGAGGUGGCCGAGUGGUCGAAGGCGCACGCCUGGAAAGCGUGUAUUCCGUCAACACGGAAUCGAGGGUUCGAAUCCCUUCCUCUCUGC